rnacentral:rRNA from 1 species
AGCGAACGCUGGCGGCAGGCCUAACACAUGCAAGUCGAACGGACCCUUCGGGGUUAGUGGCGGACGGGUGAGUAACACGUGGGAACGUGCCUUUAGGUUCGGAAUAGCUCCUGGAAACGGGUGGUAAUGCCGAAUGUGCCCCUCGGGGGAAAGAUUUAUCGCCUUUAGAGCGGCCCGCGUCUGAUUAGCUAGAUGGUGAGGUAAAGGCUCACCAAGGCGACGAUCAGUAGCUGGUCUGAGAGGAUGACCAGCCACAUUGGGACGGAGACACGGCCCAAACUCCUACGGGAGGAAGCAGUGGGGAAUCUUGCGCAAUGGGCGAAAGCCUGACGCAGCCAUGCCGCGUGAAUGAUGAAGGUCUUAGGAUUGUAAAAUUCUUUCACCGGGGACGAUAAUGACGGUACCCGGAGAAGAAGCCCCGGCUAACUUCUUGCCAGCCGCCGCCGUAACAC